rnacentral:rRNA from 1 species
AUACAGAGGGUGCGAGCGUUAAUCGGAAUUACUGGGCGUAAAGGGCACGCAGGCGGCUGGGCAAGUCCAGUGUGAAAGCUCCUGGCUUAACUGGGAGAGGUCGCUGGAGACUGCCUGGCUUGAGGCAAUGAGAGGGGUGCGGAAUUUCCGGUGUAGUGGUGGAAUGCGUAGAUAUCGGGAGGAACACCAGAGGCGAAGGCGGCGCCCUGGCAUUGACCUGACGCUGAGGUGCGAAAGCGUGGGGAGCGAACGGGAUUAGAAACCCUAGUAGUCC